GCAGUGCUUCAUUUAUUAGCAUUUUAAAAACCCAUUUCUUAUGUACAAAACAGGCUGAUUUUGAUUUUCAAGUGUUAAAAGCACUCCUUAAAAAAUUAAAUAAAAUUUAAAGCAUGGAUUACAGGAAUUGAGUUAUUUUCCCUAGAAGCCAAGUGAGCUGGAAAAUGCACCCCUCGAGAGCCAGGCAGGCUGAGGGCACACAGGUGCUCACUGGCAUGCGGGUACAGGGGUGGAUCGCUGCUAAACCCUGGGAAAUUCACUUGUAUGUUAGAAGACCAACUAACCUCGGCUGGGAAGUCAGCCUGGCUCCAAACCCAUCAUGCUAAAUUGCUAAGAUGAGUGGUAAAAGUCGGGGUCACUAAUGAACGUCUGCCACACAAUGGCAUGCCAACACUGUGACUGCUGAGUGCCCACCCCAUGGGACAGGGCCCCUCCUGUCUUCACAGCGGCCACAAGCACAGAGCCUCUGGGCAGAAGGCACUGGAAGCCACGCUCUUCUCUACCCUGCAAGGCCCUGGCUUGGCUCUGAUGCAACAUGAGGCCCCGUGCCCUGCCCACCUUGUGCUGUGCAGUGUGAGCUUGCCCUGAAGAGGCCCUGGUCCCUGGAGGGUGCUGGGCCUCAUCCUGGGCUCUAGAGGCGUCUGGGCACCAGAACUCGUCCAGCAGUUCUCACCUCGUGUAUUCCUGCACACGGAUCAGGACGGGGACGUUUAAAACAUACACAUUGUCUGUUAAAUUUUGGAACCGUGACUGAAAAUGGAGAACAGUGGCUCCAAUAGAAAAAGAGCUUUAUUAAGCUGUUAGAAUCACGCAGGGGUUGCACAGGGCUGGACGUUAAACCCCAUGGGCCGGGGCAUGGACCAGACGUGCCACCGAGCCUCACUCGGUAUUUCCACAUGCAACUGGGGAUGGCCGGCCUGUGCGCUCGCUGGCCUUUGUGCUUUGAGAUGUUCUCCUAUCGAGGCCAGAAGUGCUGUGUCCAGAAGGCUCACUUUGGCCUUGUGGGGCUGGGGCCUUCAUGUUGCAAGUGCUGUCCAGCAGCUUCCCAGAGGAGACCUCUGCAGGUGCUUUUGUGAACCUUGGGGCGGGUGGGUGGGUGGCGACUGCUGCUUCCCAGAUACUACCAGCCCUUUCCAGCAGCGAUCGGCCCAAACUAUCAGUCAGGGUCACUUUAACCCUGGCUGCGGUGGUCAAGUGUCCACUCGUCUAACACUCACAUGGACACCACGCAAAGCUGCAGGUAGGCACGUCCUACGAAAUCCAACAACUGUAUUUUCCAAAAAUACUUUUUACAGCACUUUAAAUAAUUUACAAAAAAGCUACAAAAAUCAUAUUUUCCAGGACACAUCUGUUAAAUAACACCAUCACUCCCAGCGGAUAUAAUAUGUACAGGGCGGCACAGAGGGAUUUCUGGUUUCUCUCCUGGGACGGCGAGCGUCAUGGCACACACACGGAUACAUGUGUGUCUAUCUGCUUCCCAUGAAGACGGAGCCUGCAAGUGUCCUUACGGCUGGAGGGCUUUGCCCUGGGUCUCCGGGCCACCACCCUCCUCCAUGGAGGUGUCACUGAGCUCGCUGGAGUCACUGCCCAAGGCCUCCCGGGCCUCAUCGCCUCCACUGAUAACCCUCCGCCUAUACCUCAAGUCUAGAACGUCCUCCUCGGAGCCUGAGUUCCUCCUGGUGGGCAGAGCGCAUGCCACCUGGGACUUGCGGGCCGGCCAGUGUCCACCCUCCUUCUUCGUAAGCAGGUGCGAGCUCCCAAACACGGGGCUGUGGCCAGCAGGAGUCUCUCUGAAGGCUGAGAAGGACGGGCCCUGCAGGGGCAGACUCAGGGGUGGGCUGAAGACACUGGCCUGCCUGCCCCCCCAGGUGACACUCUUUCCAAAGUGGAAUAGCUGUGUGGACAGCAGCGAGGAAAAACCUGUGAAGGGCAGGCUUUUCUUGGGGUCCUGGCCCUCUGGCCCGUGGUCUCUCUGGCCCCCGAGGCCCCCCCUCCACGUGGCCUCUCUGCCUUCUGGGCUCAGCGCCCAUGUGCUCUGCAGCCGACUCUGGUGCGCGAAGUCGGCCCACGGGAGGGCGAGGCCGGCCUGGGGGCUCCCUGGCCCAUCUGCUCCCAGCUUCCGAGUCCGUGGGCCCUGGCCCUGUGUGGUUGCAGCAAAGGCCACACCAGGGCUUUCUGCCUGGGCACCCGCUUCAAUUUGAGUGGGCAGGGGGCCGAGAGCACGUUGCCUGGCACACUCGGUCCCUCUUGAGCUCUGAUCUUUGUGAGUGCAAACCAGUCUCCGACCAGCAGCUGACCCUUUGGCAGACAGGGCCCCUGCCCCGCUGGUGUGCCUGGCCACAGCUGCAGGGAGGCAGGCCUGCUCUGCUCGGGGGCCGCUCCUCCCGCCCGGAAGGAAGGCUCUCCCUGUGCCCCCCAGACCUCUGGCCGGCUGCAGGCUGCCCCUGCCCCGCUGGCUCCGUGUGCACACACCAGGCUGAAGGGCCAGGGCAGGUGGCGGCACCUUCCGACAGGGCAGCUCUGGCCUGGGCACGCUCCCCAUCCCCAGGGCGGCAGGGCCCCCUCCUGGGGCUUCUGAACCGCUUCCGGACUCUUUGGCCUUUUCAGCCAAGAACUUCCUGAUCUCCAGCUCGAUGCUGUCAUCACUGUCCACAGAGCUGCUGUCGUCCGGCGGGGGCUGGGAGCUGGGGGCGGUGGCCAGAGGUUCACAAGCAUCCACUUCCGGGCAGAACAGAUUCCCUUCGGAGACUUUUCUCCUGAGCUGGAGGGCCGGGGCUGCAUCCCUGGGGCCGUCCACCCUGCUUCUCUCCGUGUCUCUGCAGGAGACGCUCAAAGGCUUUUUCCCCAGGUUCUCCCUGCCGUCUCUUUUGGGCUUUGAGAGGCAGCUUUUCAACAGAUGGGGGCUUCUGUCCUUCCAGUCCUUCCGGAAGCUGCCUAGUUUAUCCAAGAACUGGGGCUCAGUGGUGCUGAACCUGACCUUCCUCUUACAUGCAGCCCUGGGGUCCUUCCACCUCUUCUUGAGCCUCCGCCUGGACCGCAGCAGGUCCUUGAUGGCAGUGUCCAGGUCCUCGUCGCUGUCCAGCGAGCUGCUCUUGUCCUCGGAGCUCCCCCGCUCACCAGUGCUCCUGGCUGGGGCUGCCUUCCCGCGGCUGGGCCAUGUGCUGCCCCUGGCAUCAGGGGCACCUUGCUGGUCACUUAGCUCAAGUGGCUUGCAGGGGAUGGGCUGGCCCCUGCUCUGGCCUUCCACCCUGGGGGCCUGGCCAGGCUGUGUGCUGGCUGGGCCGUGGUCCACAUCCCGGGCGGCCUCUUGCACUGCCUCUCUCGCUUUCUUAGGUGUGGAUGGCGGCACAGCGUGGCUGCCUCCUCUGCGUUUCCUCUUGCAGCUCAGUGACAGGCCCAGCGUUUUAGAGCCGGGGACCCUGGGGCCUGGUGGUGGCGCGGGGCUCUGUGUGGAUGGUGGGCAGCUCUCCGUCCGGGCCAGCCAAGCCCCCGACUGAGCCUUCAGAGCCAGGAACGUCCGGAUCUCCUGCUCUAUGCUGUCGCUGCUGUCCACAGAGCUGCUGUCCCCGUCGCAGCGGGAAGGCACGAUCAGGGGGUAGGAGAGUGAGCUGGCAGGUGGGGGUCUCUCGCUGCCCCCCACAUAGGGGCCGGCAGGAUCGUCUUGGAAAUGUCCAGGAUAGCUUCAGCGCACAUCAGCUCGGCGGACGUGUCUGCCCGGCAUGGUGGCCGUUCCAGCAGCUCGUUUUCAGUGGCUCUGGGAUCCUUGGGUGGCUUGGAGGGGUGGUCAGGGUCAGGGCCACCUGGGCUGAGGUCCACAGCCUUCGGGGCCACUGGCUUCUUCCUGCCUGGUGUUUUCCUGUGGGUUUCCGGGAAGGCACUUUUUGUGGAGUGGCCUGUGCUGUGUGCAGGAGGCUCGGGCCCCUUCCCCUCCCCGAGGGGCGUCCUCUGUGGCAGGUCUCCGCCUGCCUCCUUCCUUUUCUCCAGCUGGUACAGCUGGAUGGCCUCCUCAAUGCCAUCGUCACUGCUGGAGCCGGAUGCCUUACAUACCAGGGCUGUGCUCUUGGCUCGCUUUGCCCUCCGCCCGGGGCCCACACUCCUCCUGACCACACCUUUACUCGGGGCUGCUUCUGCAGGGUGGCUGGCAGUGGCAGCUGGCUUCGCGCCAUCCACACUCUCUGGCUCAAUGGUGGCCCUGGACCCGAGGCCUCGGGGCCGUGUGCUCACCUUUGCUAGCCUAGGAGGUUUCCGGAAGACAAAGUCCUUGUAGGUUCCCAUCACAUCCUGCCGAUGUGCCUUGGCCGUCGGCUCUUUGCUGGAUCUAAAUGCCAAUCUGGCUGCAUUAUUGCUGGGGUCAGGUUUCAUGUCCAUGGAAACAUCACAUCUUGGGGUCUCAUGCUGUCUUUUCUCAUUCAGAAACUGUUCGAUCUCUGCCUGGAUGCUCUGCUCGAAGGAGUCGUCACUGCUAACACUAACUGGGGAGGCGGAGCCCCGGUCCUGGCCAGCUCCCACGCGGCUGCCAGGGGCGCCUCCUGAGCUGGGUGGGAGCUUCAGAGGACACGGGGCAGUCGGGGUGCUACUCAGACGAACCUCGAGUUUGGACCUCCUGCCCCCGUCUGUGGCCCCAGGCGGCUGGGUGGCCCCACUCUUGGCCUUUAGGUACUCUUGGAUCGCUUCUUCGAUGUCCCGGUCCACGGAGUCAUCGCUGUCUGAAUCCAGCACCAAGGGGCCAAAAUCCGCUGCUUGUUCCUCCCUGGAGGGCACAAAAUCAGCAGCGAGACCACAGGCGGCAAAUGCAGGGUUGGCGGCCAGCCUGGUGUCCCGGCCUUUCUCUGCCCUCUGGCUCCUCUGUAGGGCAAGCUCAUCGCUCAUGCCCAGAGCAGCCUUGUCGCUCUGGAGCGUGCUGAUGACCAUCUGCACUUUGGCACUCACAGAAGCUCUCGAGACACCCUCUUUCGGCUCCGAGAAGCACCCGGGAAACCUAAAGCUCCCAGGUGUGCCAAAAGCCUCCCAUUUUGACUGGAGAGCAACCACAGGAGGAGCGUUCAUUAGAAACAUUCUAGCAGAUAGGGAGGGAUGUGCAGAGAGGUGAUUCUUUAUUUUUCUGCCUGUUUCACAUCUUGCGAGGAAAGAGAGGAUGUUGGUAGGAUGCUACCC
rnacentral:lncRNA from 1 species